UCUGCAUGUGUGCAGCCUGCACAUCUGUACCCUUUUGUCUUAAAUAUCAAAGGCGGCAAAGGCGCGUUAACAUUUCAGUAAUUCCAAAGCUGGAAGAGGAGGACAUGGGAGGGGGAAUGGUGCAAUGAAGAUUUAUCAGACUGAGAAAGAAGGGGUGGCGCUACGCAAAAAGCCAGACUCAAAGCACUUAACGGACGGAAAUACGGUCCUAAUGCAAGAUGAAAAGGAAGGGAAGCUAUGGAGGAGAGAAAAAGUAGGCAGAGGAGGAAGUCGAAGGAGGAAGCAGUGACCAGCACGGGGAAGGAAAUGUAUAUAUAUCGGGCAACCUGAAUCGAAGCAGACAGGCGGGCGGGCGGGCAGGUUCAGUAAGGGGUCCUUGUCACUAGUGUCAGCAGCGAGGUUGAAAACAGAGACGGCAGCACCGAGGGCAGGCUAACAGUGACAGGACCUCCGCUGCAGCCGUGACGGCCAGCUUCACUGGGGCCUUAAUUGGUCCUUUGAUGUUGCUGGAAAAGGUGGUGAAGGCGACGGAAAUGGGAUCUGUCCCCCUCUGCUCUCAUAUCAUUAUAUCACUAUGUAUUCGGUGUUUAUUUAUGAACCCUUAUUAUUUUAAUGCUCCUGGAGGGCGGCCUAUUUAUUGCCACUGUCACUUUUUUUGCCACCUCUCUCACCCGUUCAGUUUUGCCUCUUCUUGUCUUUGAUUUUUGGAUAUUAACCAGAGGUUUGGUUCGGUUUUGUAAUACAAAAAAAAGCACAUUUAAAAAAAAAA